UACAGAGGGUGCGAGCGUUAAUCGGAAUUACUGGGCGUAAAGCGUGCGUAGACGGUUAUUUAAGUCGGGUGUGAAAGCCCCGGGCUCAACCUGGGAAUUGCAUUCGAGACUGAAUAGCUAGGGUACGGUAGAGGGAAGCGGAAUUUCCGGUGUAGCGGUGAAAUGCGUAGAUAUCUGGAGGAACAUCGGUGGCGAAGGCGGCAUCCUGGACCGGUAUUGACGCUGAGGCGCGAAAGCCAGGGGAGCAAACGGG
rnacentral:rRNA from 1 species